AAAUUAAAAUUUUGGUGGGACCCACCACCACACCCAAAAAGGGUUUGAGACCACAAUUGGUCUCCAUUUUUCUUCUCUCCCGCUGGCCCUUCCUUCUGUCUCUAUUUCUUGAUUUUUCUUUUUCUUUUUGAACUCAAACUUCAUUCUUAGAUUACUCCUUCACCUUUUGUCCGAUUGAGGUACCGUUUGAGGCAAAACGAAGCUCGUGUCAAGCUCUACACAUCCAUACAAGCAAUUUUAGAUUUUGUGCCCCUUUGGAUUUCGAAUCUUGAGACCCAUUUUCUAGGGUUUUGGUGCAAUCUUGAGGUCUUGGAAAAGAACCGGUGGACGACAACCCACCUCAAGCUUGACCGAUACUAGAAGCUCACUUUUGUGUCUUUUGUAUAUCUCCCAUUAUUUUUGCAAAGCACUAAAAGUGUGAAGGUGUAUAUGUAUAUUUUGCAAAAACUUUGUCAUGUAAUGUAAUUAAGGUAUUUGAUGAUA